GACGAACGCUGGCGGCGUGCUUAACACAUGCAAGUCGAACGGAAAGGCCCUGCUUGCAGGGUACUCGAGUGGCGAACGGGUGAGUAACACGUGGGUGAUCUGCCCUUCACUUCGGGAUAAGCCUGGGAAACUGGGUCUAAUACCGGAUAGUAGCCAUUUUUAGUGUGAUGGUUGGAAAGUUUUUUCGGUGUAGGAUGAGCUCGCGGCCUAUCAGCUUGUUGGUGGGGUAAUGGCCUACCAAGGCGGCGACGGGUAGCCGGCCUGAGAGGGUGGACGGCCACAUUGGGACUGAGAUACGGCCCAGACUCCUACGGGAGGCAGCAGUGGGGAAUAUUGCACAAUGGGCGCAAGCCUGAUGCAGCGACGCCGCGUGGGGGAUGACGGCCUUCGGGUUGUAAACUCCUUUCGCUAGGGACGAAGCUUUUUGUGACGGUACCUAGAUAAGAAGCACCGGCUAACUACGUG
rnacentral:rRNA from 1 species